rnacentral:ncRNA from 10 species
UAACUGAAAUGCAUGGUGGGAAAUCAGUGUGAAAUUCAUUGGCUCUUCCUGGAACCGUAAAGUCGGAGCGCCACCCAGUUAAGCCCUUUGCUGAACGAAGGCCAGGAAAAGUCUAGUUCUAUAAUGAAAAA